CGUAGGGGGCUAGCGUUAUCCGGAAUUACUGGGCGUAAAGGGUGCGUAGGUGGUUUCUUAAGUCAGAGGUGAAAGGCUACGGCUCAACCGUAGUAAGCCUUUGAAACUGGGAAACUUGAGUGCAGGAGAGGAGAGUGGAAUUCCUAGUGUAGCGGUGAAAUGCGUAGAUAUUAGGAGGAACACCAGUUGCGAAGGCGGCUCUCUGGACUGUAACUGACACUGAGGCACGAAAGCGUGGGGGAGCAAACAGGAUU
rnacentral:rRNA from 1 species